rnacentral:rRNA from 1 species
AGUGAACGCUGGCGGCGUGCCUAACACAUGCAAGUCGAAGGUAGUGGCGCACGGGUGAGUAAUAUAUAGCUAACCUGCCCCUUGCUGGAGGACAACAGUUAGAAAUGAAUGCUAAUACUCCAUAGCAAGGGAUGAGACUAUAUCGUAUCAGCUAGUCGGUGGGGUAACGGCCGACCGAGGCGAUGACGCGUAACUGGUCUGAGAGGAUGAUCAGUCACAUUGGAACUGAGACACCAUCCGGACUCCUUCGGGAGGCGGCAGUAGGGAAGAUUACGCAAUGGGGGAAUCUCUGACACACCAACGGCGCGUGGAGGAUGACACUUUUCGGUGAAUAAAUUCCUGUUAUUAGGAAAGCGGUACCUAACGAAUAAGCACCGGCUAACUCCGUGCCAGCAGCCGCGGUAAUAC